rnacentral:rRNA from 1 species
AUGAACGCUAGCUACAGGCUUAACACAUGCAAGUCGAGGGGCAGCAUGGUCUUAGCUUGCUAAGGCUGAUGGCGACCGGCGCACGGGUGAGUAACACGUAUCCAACCUGCCGUCUACUCUUGGCCAGCCUUCUGAAAGGAAGAUUAAUCCAGGAUGGCAUCAUGAGUUCACAUGUCCGCAUGAUUAAAGGUAUUUUCCGGUAGACGAUGGGGAUGCGUUCCAUUAGAUAGUAGGCGGGGUAACGGCCCACCUAGUCAACGAUGGAUAGGGGUUCUGAGAGGAAGGUCCCCCACAUUGGAACUGAGACACGGUCCAAACUCCUACGGGAGGCAGCAGUGAGGAAUAUUGGUCAAUGGGCGAUGGCCUGAACCAGCCAAGUAGCGUGAAGGAUGACUGCCCUAUGGGUUGUAAACUUCUUUUAUAAAGGAAUAAAGUCGGGUAUGCAUACCCGUUUGCAUGUACUUUAUGAAUAAGGAUCGGCUAACUCCGUGCCAGCAGCCGCGGUAAUACGGAGGAUCCGAGCGUUAUCCGGAUUUAUUGGGUUUAAAGGGAGCGUAGAUGGAUGUUUAAGUCAGUUGUGAAAGUUUGCGGCUCAACCGUAAAAUUGCAGUUGAUACUGGAUGUCUUGAGUGCAGUUGAGGCAGGCGGAAUUCGUGGUGUAGCGGUGAAAUGCUUAGAUAUCACGAAGAACUCCGAUUGCGAAGGCAGCCUGCUAAGCUGCAACUGACAUUGAGGCUCGAAAGUGUGGGUAUCAAACAGGAUUAGAUACCCUGGUAGUCCACACGGUAAACGAUGAAUACUCGCUGUUUGCGAUAUACGGCAAGCGGCCAAGCGAAAGCGUUAAGUAUUCCACCUGGGGAGUACGCCGGCAACGGUGAAACUCAAAGGAAUUGACGGGGGCCCGCACAAGCGGUGGAUUAUGUGGUUUAAUUCGAAGCAACGCGAAGAACCUUACCAGGUCUUGACAUACCGAUAAAAGCCUCAGAGAUGAGGAAAUAGCUAUAUCGGAUACAGGUGGUGCAUGGUUGUCGUCAGCUCGUGCCGUGAGGUGUCGGCUUAAGUGCCAUAACGAGCGCAACCCUUGUUGUCAGUUACUAACAGGUGAUGCUGAGGACUCUGACAAGACUGCCAUCGUAAGAUGUGAGGAAGGUGGGGAUGACGUCAAAUCAGCACGGCCCUUACGUCCGGGGCUACACACGUGUUACAAUGGGGGGUACAGAGGGCCGCUACCACGCGAGUGGAUGCCAAUCCCUAAAACCCCUCUCAGUUCGGACUGGAGUCUGCAACCCGACUCCACGAAGCUGGAUUCGCUAGUAAUCGCGCAUCAGCCACGGCGCGGUGAAUACGUUCCCGGGCCUUGUACACACCGCCCGUCAAGCCAUGGGAGCCGGGGGUACCUGAAGUGCGUAACCGCGAGGAUCGCCCUAGGGUAAAACUGGUGACUGGGGCU